AACGAACGCUGGCGGCAGGCUUGAUACAUGCAAGUCGAGCGGGCACUUCGGUGUCAGCGGCGCACGGGUGCGUAACGCGUGGGAACAUGCCCUUAGGUACGGAACAACACAGGGAAACUUGUGCUAAUACCGUAUAAUAUCUCCGGAUCAAAGAUUUAUCGCCUAAGGAUUGGCCCGCGUUAGAUUAGGUAGUUGGUGGGGUAAUGGCCUACCAAGCCGACGAUCUAUAGCUGGUCUGAGAGGAUGAUCAGCCACACUGGAACUGAGACACGGUCCAGACUCCUACGGGAGGCAGCAGUAAGGAAUAUUGGACAAUGGGCGAAAGCCUGAUCCAGCCAUGCCGCGUGAGUGAUGAAGGCCUUAGGGUUGUAAAGCUCUUUUAGAUGGGAAGAUAAUGACUGUACCAUCAGAAUAAGCCCCGGCUAAAUUCGUGCCAGCAGCCGCAGUAA
rnacentral:rRNA from 1 species